CUACGGGUGGCUGCAGUGAGGAAUAUUGCGCAAUGGGCGAAAGCCUGACGCAGCGACGCCGCGUGAAGGAUGACGGUCUUCGGAUUGUAAACUUCUGUUAAGUGGGAAGAAAGACUCGUUGUUAAUAGCAGCGAGGGAUGACGGUACCAUUAGAGAAAGCACCGGCUAACUUCGUGCCAGCAGCCGCGGUAAUACGAGGGGUGAAGCGUUAUUCGGAAUCAUUGGGCGUAAAGGGUGUGCAGGCGGCUAAUCAAGUUUGAUGUUAAAUUCUCCAGCCCAACUGGAGCUCAGCAUCAAAAACUGAUUAGCUAGAGGAUGGAAGAGAGAAGUGGAAUGCUCGAAGUAGCGGUAAAAUGCGUAGAUCUCGAGAGGAACACCGAUGGCGAAGGCAGCUUCUUGGUCCGAAGCUUACGCUGAGACACGAAAGCGUGGGUAGCAAACAGGAUUAGAUACCCUGGUAGUC
rnacentral:rRNA from 1 species